rnacentral:rRNA from 1 species
CCUCAAAUCAGGUAGGACUACCCGCUGAACUUAAGCAUAUCAAUAAGCGGAGGAAAAGAAACUAACAAGGAUUCCCCUAGUAACUGCGAGUGAAGCGGGAAGAGCUCAAAUUUAAAAUCUGGCGGCGUUAGCCGUCCGAGUUGUAAUCUGGAGAAGUGUUUUCCGCGUUGGACCGUGUACAAGUCUCUUGGAACGGAGCGUCGUAGAGGGUGAGAAUCCCGUCCAUGACACGGACAAACCAAUGCUUUGUGAUACGCUCUCAAAGAGUCGAGUUGUUUGGGAAUGCAGCUCAAAACGGGUGGUAAAUUCCAUCUAAAGCUAAAUAUUGGCGAGAGACCGAUAGCGAACAAGUACCGUGAGGGAAAGAUGAAAAGCACUUUGGAAAGAGAGUUAAACAGUACGUGAAAUUGUUGAAAGGGAAACGCUUGAAGUCAGUCGCGUCUGCCGGGACUCAGCCUAGCUUUUGCUUGGUGUACUUUCCGGUCUUGACGGGUCAACGUCGAUUUUGACCGGCGGACAAGGGUGAGGGGAACGUGGCACCUCCGGGUGUGUUAUAGCCUCUCACCGUAUGCGUCGGUCGGGAUCGAGGACCGCAGCGUGCCUCCUGGAGGCCGGGGCUUCGGCCCACGUCACGCGCUUAGGAUGUUGGCAUAAUGGCUUUAAGCGACCG